rnacentral:rRNA from 1 species
CUUGACCUACGGGACGCAGCAGUGGGGAAUAUUGGGCAAUGGGCGCAAGCCUGACCCAGCAACGCCGCGUGAAGGAGGAAGGCUUUCGGGUUGUAAACUUCUUUUGUCAGGGACGAAUCAAGUGACGGUACCUGACGAAUAAGCCACGGCUAACUACGUGCCAGCAGCCGCGGUAAUACGUAGGGGGCAAGCGUUAUCCGGAUUUAUUGGGUGUAAAGGGCGUGUAGGCGGGAAUGCAAGGCAGAUGUGAAAA